rnacentral:lncRNA from 1 species
AGGCUCUGAAGUUGAGGAUGAGUCUGGAGAGCAGUUCUGGGGUCUCUGCAGCUUUUCCAGGAGGGCUGUCUGCCCGGGUGAAGACACGCUGUCUCAGCUGUUGUUUUAGGACCAUGGGCCCUGGGGCCCAGGACAGCAGGAAGGCGGGUCCCAGUCUCCUUCUGAUGGCUCCAUCUGCACUGGAAACAGAAUUUUAACACUGGCCUAAAGGAUGGUGAGAAAUGAACUCCUGGUUGCCGACCAGACUUCCCCUUCUCAUCCCGACGACGCGGGACAUAGGGUAGACGGUCCCAAUGCCGACGAGCAGUAGGAGGACCAGCACAGGAGCUUGCAAGCAAGAGCCCAGAGCAAGAGCCCCUCUCCCCUGGUGUCCAAGGAUGGUUCUGCUGACCCAAGGGAGGAACACAAGAAGGGAAGCUUGAGAUGCUACAAACAACAAAAUGGCACCCUGUGUGCAAAUCCUGGUUGCUGCGAUCCUGGCAGGCC